UCUCGAGAAGGGAAAAGAAGAGAGCUGCCCUUGGUAGUAAAGGAGAUCUAAAAACAGAGGAAGACAGUGAGGAAAGUCAAGCAGAAAAUGGCAUACUUCAACAGCUCCUCUCCAUUCCUGACCUACCGCCCUCACUUCAACCCCCUCCUCCAGGCGGGUGGAAAAUCAACAUGAACACUGAGUGGGGUUGAGUGACAUUCACUUUGAGGGUUCAGAUGACUGUUAAGCCAAUACCCAACAUUAAUAAAAAGGAGGAAUGGUUCAGAAAACCAAUAUUAUUUCAGUUUUUAAAGGAUUUUCAGCAUGAAAGGAAGAUUUCACUUGUUGUUUGUUGCUGUUUUUCAUUUGAAUAAUAAAUUUACUUCUCUUAGAUGAG